rnacentral:rRNA from 1 species
CCCUAUAGCCAUGUCACCCUGAACACGCCCGAUCCCAUCUGAUCUCAGAGGUUAAGCAGGGUCGGGCCUGGUUAGUACUUGGAUGGGAGACCACCUAAGAAGACCAGGUGCUGUAGCCU